GCUCUGAUCCUGAAAGAUCUUUCUGAGGUGCUGAGUCCUGCCCAUGGAGAUGCUCCAGGAGCUCCUGGGUUGCACCAGCCAAGGCUGAAGGUCAGCUCAGGAGGAGCUGGGCCAGGUGCAGCUCCUGCAGUGGGGGGCUUGCAGAUGCUAGAGCUGUGCAAGUGAACUGCAGGUUUAGAGUCUGCAAAAGAACUGCAGGCAGGGAGAAGCUAGCUCCCUGACUCAGCAGCUGCAGUUCUGCUCUUCUAGAAACCACAGAGUCCUGGAUCUCCCCUGAAAGGGCGUUAACAGCAGGUUUAAAAGCAAAUCUAAUGGAUGUUGGAGAAAUAAACCACCUUUAUCCUGGGCAUUUGGUGCUCAGUCCUACUGCUUCUGCAGAGCUCAGGCUGCACAGGCACAGCACUGCUCAGCUCUUGGCUCCUGUUCAGAUCUCAAGACGUCUUCGGCGAUAAGGAGCAUUGUGGCUUCCAAUGGCAUCGAUGGGCUCUUGCACAGGAGGCACGGCAUCUUCUGUUGUGUUGGCUGGAAGUAAAGCCAUGAGGCACAGCCAAAACCCAGCUUUCUGACUGCAAUAAAGUGCCAAAAUGUCACUCCUCCUUCUGUGCUUCUCGCUGGAGCAUUCCUUCCCUUCCUGCACGUAUCUCUCGCUUUGUGGUUCGUCAGCUCUGGGUGGGCUGUGCUGCCCAUGCUGCCUGAUGGAGCCCGAGUGGAUCUGCUUGAGAACGUGCUUCAAUCUCACCUAUGUUUUAUUCCUGGAUAUAUCCUGGCUUCGGCACAUAUCAAGUCCUUUGUUGAGCCAAGGCCCGCGCCAACACAUCAAGAAUUUGGAUUCCUUUACGCUGCUCAUUGUCCUUCAGAACUAAGCAGUGCCUCUUCCCAUGCAUUUGGAAGGAAAAAAAAUUCAAUUUUGUAGCAUGGUGAAGAAGCUGGGUGAAUGUUUAGAGUGGCAAAGCCCAAGGCAGUCUGUAUUACAUUCUGCUAACUUCAUCAGGCGUAGGUCUUGCUGGAGGUGAGUGUGCAACAGGGCUGUCUUCAAUAAGAGGCUCAGGAUAUCUAGGGAGCUUUAGCUGUGAAGGCUCCUGUAAUUCGUUCCAAAGGAGAAAGACUUUAAAACCUUCCUUUGCCUUGCUCUCUUUCUGUCUAUUGUAUUAUUUAAUCUCACCUUCGCUCAGCAGAGUUCUUAUGUGUUGAAAGGAAAUGAAAUCUCUGCUGUGUUAUUAUUGCUUUCUGCUUAGAUAAAUAGUGUUGUGCUGAAUUCAGGGCAAGGCUCGCCAGCUUUUACCUCCUAAAUAUGCUGCUCUGGGCAGCAUGGCUCUGUGAGUGAAAAGUGCUCUGAGGUAUUGCUGAGAGAUCUUCUCAUCUCUGCCACUCGAACUGAAUCCUUUAACAGGUAAACAAAGCUGUGGGACAGUUAGGGUGAGAAAGACAUUGGGAUUUGUCACCUACCCACAAUACCACAGCAGCUGGAUUUGGGUUCAGUGAGGCCAUCAUAGGGAUGCUUGUCGUACUUUUUGCUUGCUGGGCUGAGAAAGCCCUUUUCCCGAGCUUUUAAUCCCCAAUUUGCUGACAGUGCAAUGCAUGGACAUGCACAGACUGGGCUUCACACAGCCUGAGGAGUGGCUCUGCUGCUCUGAGAGCAGGUGUCUCAGCAGCUGCAGUGUGAAAUGUUCCUGUAGGACAGUGCCCCUUCUCCUCACAAAUGAGGGCAGCAGAAGAAAUUAAGCAUGAUGUUUCUUCCCAAUGCACUGCUCACCUGGGCUUUGUACAAUCACUAAUGUUGGUAAAGACCUCUCAGGUCAUCAAGUUGAAUCAUGGAUGCUCGUGAGCCAGCAGCUCUGGGGCACCUUUGAGACAUGGGAGGAAGGAUGUAAGGUCUGGGUGAGCUGAGGGUUAGGAGGGAGCAAGAUGGUUCUCCUGAAGCUGAGCAUUGGAGGAACUGGAGAAUGGAGGUACAGCAUCUUAUUUGGUGCCUGGUUCUCAUGGGGGGCUGUGUGUUCCAGCACGGGGAUCUCACAGGGGUCACAGAAGGGGCUUGACAUGGUGACCAUCAGCUGCCAUUUCCAAUUGACCAGUGUGAUGAUUCCUAUUUCAGGCCACCAUUCUGAGGCCCUGCUGAGAACAGCUUCAGUGACAUGCUCUCCCUGUGACCUCUAUUUCAGCCCUCCUGGUGUUUGGCUGCUGACUCUCUGGUCCUAUUCAGAAUUAUAAGAGAGAUAAGUGAGAUUUCCUCUGUGCUGGCAGAGCAAAGGAGGAGUGUGGACCUGUGCUUACAUAACGAACCCCCAUGUGGCAGGAAGGGGUCCUGUGGCCCACAGCUGCCUGAUGAUGUGCAAAAAGCAAAUUGCUGUCAUUGCAGAUGUGCUGAGAAUGACUUCUAGAAGCUGCUAUCUAAAAUCUGGAAACAAAUAUUGCAUGAGGAGGAAAAGAGAAUACAGUCCAGAAAACACAGCUGUACUCUCAGAACGCGUUGAUCAUAGGGACAGCAGCUGUCCCCAGGCAUAAUAUUUCUCAUUAAAAAGAUAAGUAAGAUUAGGAGUUUCUCCAGGGCUUUUAAAAUAUAGAGGAUUAUAGAAUUGUUAAGGUUGGAAGAGACCACAAAGAUCCUCUAGUCCAACCACCAACCCACCACCAUGUCCGAUACAUGGCUGAGGGUGAAGCAGAGGUCUGUGGUGGAGGCCCAGCAGUGGCGAAGGGGAUUGCUGAGGGUGAAGAAGAUCCUUGUGUCAUUUUGGGGUGGGAUAUCUUCCAAAAGAGUGGUGAUGCAGUGGCAGAGCUGCCCAGGGGGGCGGUGGGGUCACCAUCCCUGGAGGUGUUCUGGAACAUGGAGAUGUGGC